UCCGAAUGGGGAAACCCACUGCUUCUGCAGUAUCCUGCAGUGAAUUCAUAGCUGCUGGAAGCGAACCCGGUGAACUGAAAUAUCUAAGUAACCGGAGGAAAAGAAAUCAACCGAGAUUCCCUAAGUAGUGACGAGCGAACGGGGAACAGCCCUUAAGCUGGAAUGGCUUUAGAAAAACAAUCUGGAAAGAUUGGCCAUAGAAGGUGAUAGCCCUGUAUUUAAAAGGGCCACUCCAGUGAAGACGAGUAGGGCGGGGCACGUGAAACCCUGUCUGAAUAUGGGGGGACCAUCCUCCAAGGCUAAAUACUCCUGACCGACCGAUAGUGAACCAGUACCGUGAGGGAAAGGCGAAAAGAACCCCGGAGAGGGGAGUGAAAUAGAUCCUGAAACCGUGUGCGUACAAGCAGUAGGAGCUCGCAAGAGUGACUGCGUACCUUUUGUAUAAUGGGUCAGCGACUUACUGUUCGUGGCAAGCUUAACCGUAUAGGGGAGGCGAAGGGAAACCGAGUCUGAUAAGGGCGCAUAGUCGCGGGCAGUAGACCCGAAACCGGGUGAUCUAGUCAUGGCCAGGGUGAAGGUGCCGUAACAGGUACUGGAGGCCCGAACCCACGUCUGUUGCAAAAGACGGGGAUGAGCUGUGAUUAGGAGUGAAAAGCUAAUCGAACCCGGAGAUAGCUGGUUCUCCUCGAAAGCUAUUUAGGUAGCGCCUCGGACGAAUACUACUGGGGGUAGAGCACUGUUAUGGCUAGGGGGUCAUCGCGACUUACCAAACCAUUGCAAACUCCGAAUACCAGUACGUACUAUCCGGGAGACACACGGCGGGUGCUAACGUCCGUCGUGAAAAGGGAAACAACCCAGACCCACAGCUAAGGUCCCAAAUUCACUGCUAAGUGGAAAACGAAGUGGAAAGGCACAGACAGCCAGGAGGUUGGCUUAGAAGCAGCCACCCUUUAAAGAAAGCGUAAUAGCUCACUGGUCGAGUCGGUCUGCGCGGAAGAUUUAACGGGGCUAAGCAGUGAACCGAAGCUUGGGGUGCAUAAAACUUGUUUUAUGCGCGGUAGAGGAGCGUUCCGUAAGCCUGCGAAGGUGGAUUGAGAAGUCUGCUGGAGGUAUCGGAAGUGCGAAUGCUGACAUGAGUAACGAUAAUGCGGGUGAAAAGCCCGCACGCCGAAAGCCCAAGGUUUCCUUGCGCAACGUUAAUCGACGCAGGGUUAGUCGGUCCCUAAGGCGAGGGCGAAAGCCGUAGUCGAUGGGAAGCAGGUUAAUAUUCCUGCACCUCGCGUGAGUGCGAUGGAGGGACGGAGAAGGUUAGGUGUACCGGGCGUUGGUUGUCCCGGGGAAAGGCGGUAGGUUUGAAUCUUUGGCAAAUCCGGGAUUCUUUAAGACCGAGCACCGAGACGAGCCUUUAUGGCGAAGUCACUGAUACCACGCUUCCAGGAAAAGCUCCUAAGCUUCAGCUCACGAAGACCGUACCGUAAACCGACACAGGUGGGUAGGAUGAGAAUUCUCAGGCGCUUGAGAGAACUCGGGUGAAGGAACUAGGCAACAUGGCACCGUAACUUCGGGAGAAGGUGCACCCUUUUUGGUGGCUCAUGCGAGCUAUAGCUGAAGAGGGUCGCAGAAACCAGGCCGCUGCGACUGUUUAUCAAAAACACAGCACUCUGCAAACACGAAAGUGGACGUAUAGGGUGUGACGCCUGCCCGGUGCUGGAAGGUUAAUUGAUGGGGUCAGCCGCAAGGCGAAGCUCUUGAUCGAAGCCCCAGUAAACGGCGGCCGUAACUAUAACGGUCCUAAGGUAGCGAAAUUCCUUGUCGGGUAAGUUCCGACCUGCACGAAUGGCGUAACGACAGCGGCGCUGUCUCCACCCGAGACUCAGUGAAAUUGAAAUCGCUGUGAAGAUGCAGCGUUCCCGUGGCAAGACGGAAAGACCCCGUGAACCUUUACUAUAGCUUUACACUGAACGUUGAGUUCGUCUGUGUAGGAUAGGUGGGAGGCUAUGAAACUGUGGCGCUAGCUGCAGUGGAGCCAUCCUUGAAAUACCACCCUGUCGUGCUUGACGUUCUAACCUAGAUCCGUUAUCCGGAUCAGGGACCGUGUAUGGUGGGUAGUUUGACUGGGGCGGUCUCCUCCUAAAGAGUAACGGAGGAGCACGAAGGUACGCUCAGCGCGGUCGGACAUCGCGCACUGUGUGCAAAGGCAUAAGCGUGCUUGACUGCAAGAUCGACGGAUCAAGCAGGUACGAAAGUAGGUCUUAGUGAUCCGGUGGUUCUGUAUGGAAGGGCCAUCGCUCAACGGAUAAAAGGUACUCCGGGGAUAACAGGCUGAUACCGCCCAAGAGUUCAUAUCGACGGCGGUGUUUGGCACCUCGAUGUCGGCUCAUCACAUCCUGGGGCUGUAGUCGGUCCCAAGGGUAUGGCUGUUCGCCAUUUAAAGUGGUACGCGAGCUGGGUUCAGAACGUCGUGAGACAGUUCGGUCCCUAUCUGCCAUGGGCGUUGGAAGUUUGAGAGGGGCUGCUCCUAGUACGAGAGGACCGGAGUGGACGAACCUCUGGUGUUCCGGUUGUCACGCCAGUGGCAUUGCCGGGUAGCUAUGUUCGGAAGCGAUAACCGCUGAAAGCAUCUAAGCGGGAAGCGCGCCUCAAGAUGAGACUUCCCGGGGCACAAGCCCCCUAAAGGAACCAUAUAGACUAUGUGGUUGAUAGGUCAGGUGUGU
rnacentral:rRNA from 1 species